GCGCGCGUUGCGCACGAUGCGCGUUCGGCUUGCGGCUUGACGGUGCGUCAUGACGCGCUGAACGGAGCGGGUUCGGCAACCCGCUGCGCGCG
rnacentral:tRNA from 1 species